rnacentral:rRNA from 1 species
UGGGGAAUACUGCACAAUGGGCGAAAGCCUGAUGCAGCAACGCCGCGUGAGCGAUGAAGGCCUUCGGGUCGUAAAGCUCUGUCCUCAAGGAAGAUAAUGACGGUACUUGAGGAGGAAGCCCCGGCUAACUACGUGCCAGCAGCCGCGGUAAUACGUAGGGGGCGAGCGUUAUCCGGAAUUAUUGGGCGUAAAGAGUGCGUAGGUGGUUCUUUAAGCGUGAGGUGAAAGGCAAUGGCUUAACUAUUGUAAGCCUUGCGAACUGGAGAACUUGAGUGCAGGAGAGGUAAGUGGAAUUCCUAGUGUAGCGGUGAAAUGAGUAGAUAUUAGGAGGAACACCAGUGGCGAAGGCGACUUACUGGACUGUAACUGACACUGAGGCACGAAAGCGUGGGGAGCAAACA